GGGUACUUGACUGAGUGGUUUAAGGUGUGGUAUUUGAGCUACCAAGGUUAGUAACCCACGUGUUCGAAUCACGUAGUAUCCG
rnacentral:tRNA from 2 species